CCCUUGCAACCCCCUCCCCACCUUCCUCCAGGCACUGUAAUCGUCCCGCCUAGUCAGUUUCGUGCUCGCCGUGGAUAUGUGGUGCUUAGUGGUGAGCUCCUGAUGGUCUGCGACGAGUGGGCCAUCGCCACACUCGUUCCUGAAGUUUCUGCUGAGGAGUUUCAUGGCGCCAUUGCUCUGAUCACCACCUACUUGGAGGGGCACGGUUGGCGCAUAAACUACACGUCACGCUGUGGUAUGGGUAUUGCGCUUAUUCAGUUUACUACUGCAUGUUCGCGCGACACUGCUGUCAGUCUUAGUCUGUUUCAGAUUGGGGAAUCUGUUCUUAGAAUCAGCAGACAGGACAGAGGUUUAAAUUAUCGCAGCAUUACUUUCACGCAUGAUGUUUGGAUCUUACUUAUGAACUACCCUCUUGAGUGCUGGGAUGUGGGGGUCAUUGGACGCAUUGUUUCUCCUUAUGGCCGUUUCUUGAUUUGGAAUAAAGAUCCUAGGGACAAAUCGAGGGUCGUGGUUAAGAUCAGAGUUAUGAAUGUGGAUACUAUUCCCAUUAGCCUGGUUGUUUUGAGCAACCUCGAUGAUGUGGGCUAUGGCGAUUCCUAGACCUGUCCAACAUACAUUCUGUCUCGGGAGCUGAUUGGACAGCAGGGAGGGGAUGAGGUCCCUCUGCCACCUGAUGGUGGCAACCCUCACCCUCUUCCUCAUAUUCAUGGAGGGUUUUGGCAUGAUGAGGUUUUAGGGAAUAUCCCAUGGAUCAGGUAG
rnacentral:rRNA from 1 species